rnacentral:rRNA from 1 species
UUAGACCGGAGGAAGGUGGGGAUGACGUCAAGUCAGCAUGGCCUUUAUAGUCCUGGGCUACACACACGCUACAAUGGCCAACACAAUAGGUUGCUAAGCCGCGAGGUGGAGCCAAUCCUCAAAGUUGGUCUCAGUUCAGAUUGCAGGCUGCAACCCGCCUGCAUGAAGAUGGAGUUGCUAGUAACCGCAGGUCAGCUAUACUGCGGUGAAUACGUUCCCGGGGCUU